AACGAACGCUGGCGGCAGGCUUAACACAUGCAAGUCGAACGCAUCCUUCGGGGUGAGUGGCAGACGGGUGAGUAACGCGCGGGAACGUGCCCUUCAGUUCGGGAUAACCCAGGGAAACUUGGGCUAAUACCGGAUACGUGCGAGAGCAGAAAGAUUUAUCGCUGAAGGAUCGGCCCGCGUCUGAUUAGCUAGUUGGUGGGGUAAUGGCCCACCAAGGUGACGAUCAGUAGCUGGUCUGAGAGGAUGAUCAGCCACAUUGGGACUGAGACACGGCCCAAACUCCUACGGGAGGCAGCAGUGGGGAAUAUUGGACAAUGGGCGCAAGCCUGAUCCAGCCAUGCCGCGUGAGUGAUGAAGGCCUUAGGGUUGUAAAGCUCUUUCGUCCGGGACGAUAAUGACGGUACCGGAAGAAGAAGCCCCGGCUAACUUCGUGCCAGCAGCCGCGGUAAUAC
rnacentral:rRNA from 1 species